UAGGGAAUCUUGCGCAAUGGGCGAAAGCCUGACGCAGCCAUGCCGCGUGAAUGAUGAAGGUCUUAGGAUUGUAAAAUUCUUUCACCGGGGAAGAUAAUGACGGUACCCGGAGAAGAAGCCCCGGCUAACUUCGUGCCAGCAGCCGCGGUAAUACGAAGGGGGCUAGCGUUGCUCGGAAUUACUGGGCGUAAAGGGCGCGUAGGCGGAUAUUUAAGUUGGGGGUGAAAGCCCGGGGCUCAACCUCGGAAUAGCCUUCAAUACUGGAUAUCUUGAGUUCGGGAGAGGUGAGUGGAAUGCCGAGUGUAGAGGUGAAAUUCGUAGAUAUUCGGCGGAACACCAGUGGCGAAGGCGACUCACUGGCCCGAUACUGACGCUGAGGCGCGAAAGCGUGGGGAGCAAACAGGAUUAGAUACCCUGGUAGUCCACGCCGUAAAACGAUGAGUGCUAGUUGUCGGCAUGCAUGCAUGUCGGUGACGCAGCUAACGCAUUAAGCACUCCGCCUGGGGAGUACGGUCGCAAGAUUAAAACUCAAAUGAAUUGACGGGGUCAUAGCUGUUUCCUG
rnacentral:rRNA from 1 species